UUAGGCAAGAUAGGCACGUGAAAUUAUGAAAAGAGGAAGUGUACCUAAAAAUGAGAGAAAGAUCAGAGUGGGGAAAUAAUCAGCGACUGAAUGACAGAGAAGAUUGUGCUAGAAUGUCUGGAAGUCCGAGGUUAGUGCUGAUGGAGGGAAGGAGAGCCAAUGUGGAAGCCAGAAGCCCAGUGAGAAUCCGAGAGUUGGAGGGAGCUCUAAGGACCAUGUUAGUCUAAACGUUUUACUUCACAGCCGAGAGCCAGAACAGAUGAAGACAAAUGGAGAGGAGAAGGGAGGAGAAUAAGAUAGUUUCUUCACAUGAACCUUUGUGCUGGCCAACAUGGCACUGCAAGUUUACACUUUGAACUUCCUCCUCUGUGUCAACUACU